GUACCAAAGCGUCUAGAGACAGGAAUGGAUCCAAUUAGUUAUGUGGGUGGUUUUAUAUCUGUAAUACGCAUGCACAUUACUCCCUCAUGAACAAAAAUCACAAAAUGGCUGCCACCAACUGAGUGUUUUUCAUAUUUCUAGUGCUGUCUUCGUGGUUCCAGGCCAUUUUGCUAGUUGUUUGCAUGAGUUGGAUCACUGAUUAGACUAAUAGAACCUUGCACUAGAAUGUAUCUUCUAAUUAUUCUUGUGUGAGGAAAUGGGCUUUUUAGUCUUUCCUGGGUUAUCAUUUGUUCCUUCCACCACAAUUACUCAUUUCAGAACUGCAUUUUAUACCUUGCCAGCGAAUUGGAUCACAAGAGGUUGCUCAUGAGUUUUUGCUUACAUGUGUAGUAGGAGACUAGGAGCUCAAAAUGUCACAAAAAGCUAUCAGUAUUGUUCAUGGUGGUGGACGAAACUCUGGAUGCUAUAUUUGGAGAUAUAACAUUUCCCCAAGACUAGAUAUAUUAUCAACUCUUUAAUUCCCUUGGCACUACUUAAUGUGACACCAGUAUAUUUCCAGAAUGACAUUCCUGUCAAAUUAUUUUUAGAGAUGAAAAUAGGCUACAAAACUCAACAGAGUAACCUGAAAUCAAAUGUGUGGCUAAACAAGCAUUUAUUCAUGUUUGAACUGUUUUUUUACAUUUUUGUUUGAGUUAUGAACAUGAUAAAUUGAAGUA